UACGAAGGGGGCUAGCGUUGCUCGGAAUCACUGGGCGUAAAGCGCACGUAGGCGGCUUCUUAAGUUAGGGGUGAAAUCCUGGAGCUCAACUCCAGAACUGCCUUUGAUACUGAGAAGCUUGAGUCCGGGAGAGGUGAGUGGAACUGCGAGUGUAGAGGUGAAAUUCGUAGAUAUUCGCAAGAACACCAGUGGCGAAGGCGGCUCACUGGCCCGGUACUGACGCUGAGGUGCGAAAGCGUGGGGAGCAAACAGG
rnacentral:rRNA from 1 species